rnacentral:rRNA from 1 species
UACGUAGGGUGCAAGCGUUAAUCGGAAUUACUGGGCGUAAAGCGCGCGCAGGCGGUUUUGUAAGUCUGUCGUGAAAGCCCCGGGCUCAACCUGGGAAUUGCGAUGGAGACUGCAAGGCUUGAAUCUGGCAGAGGGGGGUAGAAUUCCACGUGUAGCAGUGAAAUGCGUAGAGAUGUGGAGGAACACCGAUGGCGAAGGCAGCCUCCUGGGCCAGCACUGACGCUCAUGCACGAAAGCGUGGGGAGCAAACAGG